UUGACAGCAACUUUCAGUCAUCGCACUACAGACGGUAGUGUGCCCUUUCAGAUCUUCAGCCCAGCACGCACACUGAAAGUCUGAGUGGACACAAUGAAAAGGCAGCCACUGCCAACUAUGAAGAAAGCCCUUAUCAGAAAGUGACCAUGCCAGCACCCUGAUCUUGGACUUCCAGCCUCCAGAACUCUUGUGGUUAUCGAAGGCAGCUCAGCUUACACCAGGAGUGCCAGCCUUCUCCAUGGACUCCCCCCCCUCCUCGAUAUCACACCACUCUCCUAAUUCCUCUGGCUUUUACACCCAAGCCUUCCUUCCACCUUCACAAAGAAAAAUCUACUGGCAAAAAAAGUCCAAAACCCCUGGUGAAAGUUUCAAUUAUCUAGAGGUGUACAUCUGAACCAACCAGAAGAUCCCCAUUUUUUCUACGGUAGGAAAUACGCAGCUGCUCGAGUACUACUAGACAUGACAUAUUCGACUUUCACCCACCCACCUUUGAACCUUCAAAAAACGUUUGCUAAAAAGAAUGUGUUUUUAAGUCCCCCCCCUUUUUGCACUCACUCCCUGAAGUAGGAGAAAUAUUAGGAAAUUUACUCUUCCACUCAACAGCUCUCACAUGAGCCUUCAAGAAGCUACGCUUAUGAGAGAAGCAUGAACCCAGCAGAGGAGAGCUCCGGAGGGGUCACCGUGUAUGACAGUCAACUUUAUAUAUUCACACUUCAGGCAUCUUAUUCAAACCAACUGCAGAAGCCUGAUUUGUUCUUUCGAAAACAUUACGCUGACUUCAAUUUAGACAUUUCUAUUUUGGUGCAGCUAGACUACACAGGAGUGUGUUCCUCUACCAUUUAGUAAUUUAGAUACUUUCAAUAUUAUUGCUAACUGACUCUUGAGGUAUAAGAGCCUUAAUUAUGUUGGUUUAAUAUUUUGUGCUUAAAUAUUGUUAUUUGUAAACUAACAGUGGGAAACACUACAACUUCCCCACGUUCCUUUCUUAUUUCACUGUUACAAUAAA